GUGAUCGUGGUUCGACACGAUGCACGCGUUGUUCGGCGAACAGAGUCCGUACGCGUACCGCGGAGGUGCCGCCGGAGGCUACUCGGCUAGUGUCACCCCCUAUGCCUACGAACAAUACCGAUACGGAUACGGUGCUCCUUACCUCCAUCCGCACCAGCAGCAUGUCGGUGCACCUAAGGACAUGGUCAAACCGCCUUAUUCCUACAUAGCACUUAUUGCGAUGGCAAUACAAAACGCGCCGGAUCGUCGUAUUACUCUCAAUGGUAUUUAUCAGUUUAUAAUGGAGCGCUUUCCAUAUUACCGUGAAAACAAACAAGGAUGGCAGAAUUCUAUAAGACAUAAUUUAAGUUUAAACGAGUGCUUCGUGAAAGUGGCUCGAGAUGACAAGAAGCCUGGUAAAGGUAGUUACUGGACGUUAGAUCCAGACUCCUACAACAUGUUCGACAACGGAUCAUAUUUGAGAAGACGGCGUCGUUUUAAAAAGAAAGAUGCCUUAAAAGAGAAAGAGGAAGCCCUGAAGCGGCAGCAACAGCUGCAGCAGGCGCAAGAGGCGCUGGCCGCGCAGGAGGCACUAAGCGUCUCCGAUGUGACGGGGCAGGCGCGUGACGUUAAGCCCGAUGUCAAACCGCGCCUAUUCGAAUGCCGGCCCAAGCGCGAACCUGGCGCGGAUUGUGCGCGUUACGAUAAGCCGUCGGACUCCCUGGAUGACUACAGCGAGCCCCGGUUACCGCCCUCCGCCGUGUACUGCUCGCCGCAGCCGUACGCGCUGGCGGCAGAGGAGUUCCGAGCGGCCGCGACGGGCUGGUACGCGGCGCCCGAACCGCCUGCUGAGCAGUUGCCUCCGGCGUUCCGCGACCUCUUCGAGCCUCCGAGUUGCCAGCUGGCUGGCUUCCGGGGGUCGCCUCCUCCCGACGCUUACCGCACAUCGCCACCGCCUCAUCACCACUACCGCCCGCCGGCGCCCUCCUAUUACCAUCACCAAGCGUGCGUGGCAGCCGCACCCGCACCCGCUCACAAGUCUUACUGAGACAUCGCAACCAGGAGGCCGGCAUCACACGGCGCCGAACGAAUUUAGCUGCGCGUCAGUUCCAGAACGGAUAAAUAUAGCGCAGUAGCCGGAGAUGCCGCGGAGGCAAGUGGCGGCGCGUCGAUAACCACUGUUUACACGUCGGCGGCCGGCCCUGCCGCCUCCCGCUCCGUCCACACCUAUAGGUUUGACGGAUUAAGAAGACGGGAGGCAAGCAGCAGGGAGAAACGAUACAAUAGUGAAAGAUUUAGUGUGAUGAACUGAAAUGUGCUAUCUUUCAGUGGACCUCGUAAAAUGACCAGUGAGACACAUAGUUCCGUUUGAGCGAACUACAUAAUAUAUAAAAUUAGCAUUAUUGUGAAAUCUCUAGUUCUCAAGAGAGCGUUCAUAAUGCAAGGAGUUAGUACGUAGAUAUGUAUAUUCGUUCACCAGUGACUUAUGUAAGGUAGAAAAGGCGACAAAUGAAUUUAAUUGUAUUGUGACAAUCAGUUUUCUUGAGUGGUAGUUUGAUUUGCGUAUCAGUGUAAAUACGUACAUAGGUACACAAUCCACAUGUAUUCGACACCUCUCUUAGCAAGCUUCUAGUACUUGUUCUAGUCUUUUGACUCGUCUUUUCUGUGUGUUAUUUGAAUCAUUGAUUAUAAUAUGUAUGUACUAUUCACUUUUAGACAUAACUAUUGAAACAUCUUUGACAUGCACACUCAUUAGCCUAUAGGUUAGGUAUAACAUUUUUUGGCUUUAAUAUUUGAAAUAUUAUUUUAUUUAUAUUUUGGAGUAUGAAAAUACUUAAAUUCGUACCUACGUAAUUGUACCUACAUGUCAUGAAUGACAACCAAAACCAGCCUUAGUGUACUUUUUGUAGCGAGACAUUUAUUAACGGGUAAAUUUUCUAUCCCCGAAAAGGGAAAUAAAUGGUGAUGGAUUAGGACGGAAACCAAGUGACAAUUUCCACUGGUUCUUUUUUACGUCUCAUCUUUUCUCUUUUCUGGCUAGUGGGAAAACACAGUGACGCUGCCUAAGGAAACUUUAGGCUACUCUCACUGACAACUGACUCUACUUUGAGUAAUGUUUUCAAUUUAACUUCCCGUUUCCCGUUUGUAGUAAAAAUUAACCGCGAGAGUAGGUGUGCCAUAACCAUAAUGUACUAUAAAAAAAAUCAAGUGGGUAGAAUUAAUUGUAUGUAAUAUACUACUAGUAGGAAAUUAUUAUGAUUGCUAUAGAUUGUACAUUAAAUCCAACUGUGUAGUACAACACUUUAUUUAGUGGAAAGUGGCAUAACUAAGUAGGCAGUUCCCAUGGAAUAGAUAACUUUAAGGGAUACCGUAUAGUUACGAAUUUAAAUAUAAAUAUAUUUAAUUUAGUGACAUAGUUUAAGUAGUUGAUUAGAUCUAAGUCACCAAUAAAAGCCUGAAUCAAGAAAUUGUUAGUGAUCCUCUCUUCAUCGAUGAUUAUCUAAAUACUCAAAAUCCAUUACGUAUUACAUAUAGGUACACUUAAAAUACUUUUCUAAACAUUUAAAAGAUAAUUUGAUAAUUGUAGGUAAGUAUACAAAUGGCAAUAGUUCAUAGUGUUUGGUAGAGAAUACCUACCUAUAACAAAUUCUUCAAUUUAUUUCAGUGUUUCAGUGUUUUACACAUCAUUAUGUUAUAAAAACCUUGAAUUAGUAAAUUUUGGCAGUGUUUAUUUUCUUAUACAUAUAUAUAUAUAUUUAAUUUAAAUGAAUUGAGGCAUUACUUAUUUUGUUGUUAAAGUUACUGUUAGUGGUCUAUAAAUAACCAUUGAUUCAAUAGAGAGAACAUUGUAAAUUGUUAUUUGAUGAAAAAAAAAGCACAAUAAGAUAACAAUAGUCUUGAGGUACUUUUCCAUAAAAUAACACAUUUUUAUAGGACGCAAUUGGCCAGUCAUUUUUUUUAUUAUCUUUCGUCACCUAGUAGAAUGGGAUAGGCAAAUGUCAAAGGUUUUUAUAGGUGGCGCCAGCAUAGGUUUUGACUGUUUCUAGUUUAGUUCUAUGGGAUUUAGCUUAAAGAGACUUCCAAGAAAUGAAAUUAAAAAAAAUAAGAGUUUGACACUAGGUACUUAUUCGUAGGAUUGACAGGUAAAGCAUAUGCUGGCGCCAUCUGUAAAAUGAUUUGACCGGACCCGGCCCGUUAAGAACUAUGAGUACAGCACUGCUCUUCAACAAGAUUCGACAACUAUUUUACCGAGUUAUUUAUUUACACGCUAUGUCCAUACCUAUUUAGUUUUCUUAAAUCACUGAAAUUUUCACAGGUAUCUAUUUAAUAAGAAAUUAUUCAUCAAUUUCAUCAUCCACUAGAAAUUUUAUUGGACUACCUACUUAAGUUGGCUUUUGAAUUUGUGAUAAUUAUCGUAAAUGUGUGUACAUAAAUGUAUUUAAACAAUAAAUGUUUAUUUGUAUUUAAAACGA